UAGGAGGCCCAGGUAAAUGGGUUAACGGCGAAGGAGAUACCACAAACUAGGUUUGACCCAGGCAAACAGGAUCCCUCGCAGACAGACAACCAGCCACCACAAAGCUGGCAGGAAAACUCGGGCAGCGGGCACAAGAAGGUGUGUGUUCCGGACAAGAAGUGGCUUGUGCGGUGCCGAGCAAAGGACAGGAAUUAACAAGGCAUUACUGACAAAAGGCGAGGGAGGAAAAGCAUUUCCUUAGCUCGCAGAUGCUUCGGAGCAACAGUUUGGAAACGACACCCCUGGCUUCGUCAUUAGGAGAGCUGUAAUUCCCAGCUGGGAGUUGGAAAGCUGGCCCAACCCUGGGGCGAAUCAGGAUACGUUAUGCCCUCUGGAAAGAAGCACGCAGGUCAUGCUAGAGGCUGGGGGUUUGGGGGGAAGCUGUGGAGGGAGGGAGGGAUGUCACCAUCCUGAGGUCCUAGAGUCCCCGCCGAGGAACGGGGCAGGCUAAUUUUGAAGCCAUAUGCUGGGGCUGGGCGGGACUCGGCUUCACCUGUCUGGUUCGUGCUCUCCAGAGAACAGCUCAUUCAGCCUAGCUCACCAGGAAAUUUGGCUCAAUCUGGGUGCGGCCAACCACUAAUUCUCCGCACGCUGGGUCCUUUGUUCACCAGACCCUCCUCUGCGCGACCGACCCUGGGAUGCUACGGCCUCUGAGAAUUUCUUCUUCCUAGCGGUGUAUUAAGUGUUCUACUAUCGAUUCUCCUUCCUCCUUUCAUUAACUGGCACUAUAAGCAAAGUAGAAAUAAUUUAUUUCUUUUGAGUUGUUAUUAAAAAAGAACAUGCUAGUAAAUAUUCUGCCUUACCUCAACAGGAAAUAAUGUUUAUGCUCUGGUAAGGCUAACAGUCUUGUGAAAUUUAUUUCUAUUUCCUCUCUCUCAUUCAUUACUUUAUUGGCUUUUUAAAAAUUACAUAGGAUAAAAGGAAAUCUAGAAUGAGCUUAUAAGCACGAAGACGGCACCAUGAAGGGAAGUAAUUAUGAUGUCGGAAAAUCUCAAGUUCAUCUUGCUUAUGCUGUUAAAACUGGACAGACGGUCAUUUGUGAGGUCUUAGUGAAACUAUUAAUGUUUCAUUUGAUCAUAAAUGGAAUGUCUCCCAGACACGAGACAGACAGACUGUUGCCAAAAUUAUUUAAUUCUCAGGAAAGAGAUGGUCCAGUCAGUGGUUAGCUGAUGGCUAUAUUUAAGAUGAGCGUUAUUCCCACAAAUAUUUUGACAGGGGAAACUCUGCUGAGCUCUCCGGUCUACAGGCCUGACUGACUUAACGCUGUGCCCAACGUUGAUUAAAGAUUCGAGUCUGGAACAGACUUAAGCAAUGUUAAAUAAAUCAUUUAACUUCCAAGCCACAGUCAGUAACUGUGGGGAGCUGUAGGACAGAUAAAAGAAAAAUGUGCUUCUCUCACCAAUACUCAAUCUUGUUCUGGGAUACUCCUGUAUCCUCCAGGCCAAGGACAACCUCCUUUUGUACCUAAAAUAGCUACAGUUUGUAAAAGCGUAUCUUCUUUCUACCACUUGUAACAGAUAGUGCAAGUAACUUCUCCCAUCUUCUCGCCCUGUCUCUGCACAUCCCGCAGGUGCCUGUACGGACACCGGUCUUUUAUACAGACAGGACUCCCUUUUGGAGCUUCUGUGGUUAUGGUUUUUUUUGUUAGUGGUUAUGUCGUUUCUGUCAUCCAAAUACAACUUUUCAGUCCCUUCGAUUUUAUUUUUCCUCUUAUGACUGUUCUCUAAACUCCUACUUAGCUUGUCAACAUGCAUUGUGCAAUAUGUAAGACAUCGCUUUGUUUACUGGCAACGUUUCUUAUUCUAUAAAGGAUUUUGGAUGGUGAGGCACACACAUACCCACGAUAAACACCCGCAGUUUGCAGCUCACACAGGGCUUCCAAUUGAACUCCGUGAAAUACACAGAUCAGGCGUUCCUAUCCCCACUGGAUGGGUUAGGAAAUGGAAGUGUAAGGAGUUAAGAACGUUGCCCAAGGGCGCCUGGCUGGCUCAGUCAAUGGAACAUGGAGAAUCUUGAUCUUAGGGUCAUGAGUUCGAGCCCCACACUGGGGGUAGAGAUUACUUAAAAAUAAAAUCUUUAAAAAAAAGAAAGGAAAAAAGAAAGAAGCUUCCCCCGUGUCACAUGACGACAAAGCAGGGAGGCACUAAGAAUGCCCAUCUUCAGCCUUGCCACUGUGAGGAUUUAUUACAUUAUUAUUAUUAAACUUUAUUACUGCUUCUUCCACAGUUCCACAGUGUGAAACCCCCUGUCCUCCAGGAUACCGUGCGCUGCUCUGUGAGGACUCCUGCCCCACGAGGCCCUUCCUGCAGGGAUUACUGAGGGCUCAUCUGCUUGAGCUCUGACCUUCAGUGUGCAGGGCACUGAACUCUGUGGGAGAUGUUCCUCAUUUGCGUCCGUCUCUGACCCCGAUUUCCACAGCAAAGGAAAGGAACAGCAAGACGUCUCAGCAGGCUUAGCAUCUAACUAGCCAGAUGCUCUCUUGAUUACGAUUAGGUUUUACCUACUUGCCUCAGAAUAAGUUACAUGUUGGGGCGCCUGGGUGGCUCAGUUGGUUCAGCAACUGACUCUUGAUUUGGAUCAGGUCACGGUCUCAGGGUCACACGAUGGAGCUCCGAGUUGGGCUCCCCACUCAGCCACAAGUCUGCUUCCCUCCUUCUCACUCUGCCCCCUCUACUCUCUCUCUAAAAUAAAUAAGUCUUUUAAAAAAAUCAGUUACAUGCAUGUUAGUAUGUAUCAUGUUUAUAUACAUUACACUGACAUAUACCAAAAUAUUCUGUACGGCUAAUUAUGUAGAUGUAGCUAUCAUUACGCCACGAGUUAUAUAUGUGUAAACAUGUAUAUAUGUACAUGUACACACUCACACACACUUUCAUUCCUCGCAGAUGCCAGAUUACUUACAGGACAAAAUGUCUGUGACAUUCCUGGGACCGCACCCCUUGGAAGUGGCACUACAAUUCUGUCACUGUAUCUGUCACCAUUUCCUCCGCCCCUCUAACCUUUCAUUAGGGAAACUGAUCAAGUCAAUUGCGUUAUUAAGAGGAAAAGGUGGAUACAACACUACAUAGCUUUAGGAUGGUCGCCACAGUGUAAGACUUUUUUAAAAAAAACUGCAGUUGGAUGAUGUAACAACGCCUCAUCCCAUCUGAACUGAAAACAGCAAAGCGACGACAAUCUCGGUCGGAUUUUGGGCUCUGCAGCCACCGCUUAAUGGUAGGCAUUUUUCAGUGGAGAAAAUGGUGGUGAACACAUCGAUGGGUGGUGGGUGCCAAGCUGGAAACCAAAUGGUCUUUCAUUCCCGGUCUGUCACUGUCCUGCCACAUCCCAGGGAUCCCGCUGCGGGGUCCGAGCAGUCCUUGUGUCUCAACACCCCGUGUUCCCUCUUGGGUGUCACCUCUUGGGGUCUACGCAGGGUCCCUCCGCACCUCUUUCUUUUCUCAUUGCUCCUCUGGAAAUCAACCUUGUGGAUUCAGGUGACAAUCAUGGCCCUUCUGCUGGCAUUGCCCCCUGCCUGUUUUCACAUCAGUCAAAGAGGGACACGUGCUGGCUUUCUGACCCAGUCCUACAACGAGCGCGCAACAUGAGGUGAGUUAUGUCAGUCGAGCGAGUUUAAAGGGGGAUUUUACAGGUCACCUCUGAUGAGAUGUUGUUCAGCUGUGCUGUUAUUUUGACCUUCGGCUGAACAAUAUUAGCUAAUGUGUCCAAAGCAGCAAGGAGCACGGGAGGGGAGAGCCCCAGAGGAUUACGCUGGAGGAGAGUAAUUCACAAGGCCACCAAGCUCAAUUUUUUCCUCAAAAUAAACAUGAAAAAACAACAACGCAGAUCCAGAUCAAAGUAGCCCAUGUGCCCAUUCUUCCUGGGUUCAGAAGAGCCAAGUGCGCUCCUCCUAGCAGCGGCUUUCAAAACCGAAAGAAGUUCCAUGGGUAUCCCAGGUAUGUCGAGUGUGUGACCUGGGAAACUUCUCUUGUGUCAGACUGAAAAUCGCUGCCAUUUGUUGUGUAAUUAUAGAGGCCCAACCAUCUCUCCAGUUCCCAGUAGUUAGGAAAGAAUCGAAAAGGGUUUGAGUUUAUAAACUAAAUGAAUAGACCUUUGAAAACACAUCUGUUUUCCUUGGGUCUGAUGGGAGUCUGAGUCAAAGAAUACGAGAGCGGGGCGCCUGGGUGGCUCAGUGGGUUAAGCCUCUGCCUUCAGCUCAGGUCAUGAUCUCAGGGUCCUGGGAUCGAGCCCCGCAUCAGGCUCUCUGCUCAGCAGGGAGCCUGCUUCCUCCUCUCUGCCUGCUUCUGGUCUCUGUCUGUCAAAAUAAUAAAUAAAAUCUUAAAAAAAAAAAAAAAGAAAGUGUUUUUUUUUAAAAAAAAGAACACGAGAACACCUAUUCUGGGACCAAGCCAGUGGCCCCAAAUGCCCCCUCCCCCCAUUUGAGGAGUCUUCCCACGGUCCAUGCAGCUCCGUGGAACCGGUCUUCCGAUGCGGAUGUUAGCAUCAGGUUCCCAAUACAUAUAAACCAGAAGUCUGAUCUAGAGUGAGUCUCAACUAUCACAUUCUCUGCAUCCACGGAAUGGUUACUAGGCCUAAAAGCCCAGGGUUAAGGCCAAUGAGAGAACGAGGAUCUUUAAGACAGACUUCUUACCUUUAAAGAGCUUACAUUCUAGUAGGGAUAAUGAGGCACGUACAUGAAUAUUCAAAAUCAGACAAAGCAGGAAUAACUCUGGCAAGUGUUAAGGGAGUGCAAUGCACAAACACUCUCAGAAUCUGCUCCAGAGUGAGAGCCUUCCGGCUGGAGAGUGGAGGAACACUUUUCUGAAAAGGUGAGAUUUAAAGGAAUCCAUAAAUUAUGAGCAGAAUUUCAGGAGAUAAGCAAGAAAAAGGUUGCUUUGCUAGGUAGUCCGGGCAGGAAGGAAGGCACGAUUGGAGACAAGAGUGGGAGAUGCCAGGUGCUCUGGAGGAACAGGUAGGCCUCUGACCCAAACAGCAAAGGGUUCUCCAAGGUCAACAUGCAUUAGAAUCCCCCCGAGUACUUGCUCAGACACGAAUGAAGGGGCCCCACAUACGGAGUGUCGGAUGGAGCAGGUCUGAGAAGCUGGAUU